ensembl:lncRNA
GGGUAUGGGUGACUUGUAAGGGUAUGGGUCACUUGUAAGGGUAUGGGUGACUUGUAAGGAUAUGGGUGACUUGUAUGGGUGACUUGUAAGGGUAUGGGUGACUUGUAAGGGUAUGGGUCAUUUGUAAGGGUAUGGGUGACUUGUAAGGGUAUGGGUCACUUGUAAGGGUAUGGGUCAUUUGUAAGGGUAUGGGUGACUUGUAAGGGUAUGGGUCACUUGUAAGGGUAUGGGUCACUUGUAAGGGUAUGGGUGACUAGUAAGGAUAUGGGUGACUUGUAAGGGUAUGGGUGACUUGUAAGGGUAUGGGUGACUUGUAAGGAUAUGGGUGACUUGUAAGGGUAUGGGUGACUAGUAAGGGUAUGGGUGACUUGUAAGGGUAUGGGUGACUUGUAAGGGUAUGGGUGACUUGUAAGGAUAUGGGUGACUUGAUGAUGUAAGCGGGUCGUCAAAAAAAUAAUCAGAUAUAGUCAACAAAUCAGACUCUGGCAUCAGAACCUGUGGUGUAAAUGCAGCCUGAGUGUUUCAUUACUUGCUUCUUCAGUCAUAGAUGAGAAACUGAAGCGAUUAUUUCAAAAUCCUCUUGCUGGAUAUUAUUCACAAAUCUUUCAUUAUUAAAAUGCGAACUAAAGCUGGCAAACCUUCAGGCGAGUUUUCUAGAGCGCUCGUGUGUGGGAAUCGUACCAUGUUAAGCCCACAGGAAGUGUUUAUGACAGACUACUCUUUGCUCUGAUUUUCACACAGCACGCGGUUUUGAAAAACCACAAAAGAUUACGAUCAAACUGUCUUCCGGUGUUGUUUUUCUGAGCUGGCUUGUUAAUCAGAACUUUAUAUUUGGCCAACGUAUCAUAUCAGGAUAUCUGAAGACAUUUCUACGAUCCACGAUACGCACCAUGAUAUACUGUGUAUGCAUGUUUGCUAACAAAGUACCAGCUCAACUGUAGUGUCGCUUGUACGACUAAAACCUUUUUUCCUGAGACUUUUCAUGAUGUCUAGGAAAAUCAUUUCUACUGAAAAGCAGGUGAGGAUUUUACGGUUUUGAAUAAAACGACAGAAAUACAUCGAGAUACUCGUAUUGAGAUACUAAAAAAUGUAGCGUGACAAUAUUUAUCACCGGGUUAUCUCGUCAUAUCGCCCAGCCCUAGCUGUGAUUACCGUAUACCCUGUGAUACAUUUCAACACACGUUUCAAGUCUUUACAUUUCAAUAGAUUACUGUUUUAUUGCAAAAUAGUUUCCAUUUGUUGCAUCUUGUGAUUACUGUGAUUCACUGAAACGCUGACAAUCUUGCGCGUAUGAGAAUGUUCCGGACGACUAGAUUACUCAAUAAAACAUUUAGCAAUCGGUCAUAAAGAGUUCAUACGCAUAUUUUAGCUUCCGGAGGUAUUUAAGCGUUGCGAUAACGAUGAACUAAUGUUCAGCUUUACUGUAAGGGCUCGUCAGGAAAAACGGCAAGAUGGAUGAUCCGAAGAAGAAAAAGUCUUGCUUUAUCUGUGUUCGGAAGCGCAUGGCAAGGAAGACUAGGAUAUUGAUAAUUGAUAAUGUUAAUGAGUCUUUAUUGGGCAUGUACAGUAUACACUACAGCAAAAGCCGCAUCAAAAUCAAGAAUUUUUGGCUGCAACAAUCAUAAGAAACUCCAGUUCCAUUUUACCUCACAUAUAUGUAUAUACGUAGUGAUUUUAUUCCUUUUCUAACCAGCAGAGGUAAGGAGAACGUUUAAGUUAAAAGUUUAAUUGCUAGCUAGUUUGCUAGCUAAGACUGCGUUCCUCAGUCACCCUGUCAUGCUUUGACCAAGUCGUUUUACGUGCUGUAGUGAAAGUGGCGUAUUUCGAUCCAGUCCAUAAACAGUAUAAACACCAGCUGACAGUCUAUCCCUGACUCACACACAGACGUGCCGUGGAGAAAGUCGCAGCGUUUGAAUUAAACUCACCGAAUGAGUCAGCGAUUAUUUCCCCACCGACGUCAGCGCGAUCAGAGAUCGGGCGAGUCGAAAAUGAGACGCGAAGGCUUGCGCUCAUUAAACGCCGUGACUAAUCCUGACCUCAGGAGAAGAAACUGACGUAUAGAUGCUGCUGAUAAUCAGACUGAUUACGCGGUUUCCUU